rnacentral:lncRNA from 1 species
CAAAUUUUUUAAAAAUAUAACUAGUAUGUUGAUGACAUAAGCUGUUGGUGAUUCUCCAAAUAAAGAAGCUUAUCACAUCAUCUACUUUGUACUUCAAUUUUUUUUUCUUUCUGAGAGUCAGCAUUCAUUAGUGAACCAUCAAAAACUUUCAGUAGAAGACAGGAGACUCAGAAUGUAGACAUUGUUCUUCAUCGACAAGACAGUCUUGAUUUUUCACUUAGAAAUGAGUUGGCUUUUUGUUAAAUUACCUAGGGAACUAAGAGUUUCUGAAUUUACAUGUAGAAGUUUUGAUUUAAUUAGGAUGAGGUGUCCUUUAGGUUUUAGAGUAAGUCUCUAGAUGGUUCUAAUAUAUAGUUCUCUCAAGCUAUAUUCCCCAGCCAGUGACAUCAGCAUUAACAUGGAAACUUGUAAUUAAUGAAAAAAAUCACAUGUCUCUCUGGAUCUAUUGAAUAGACACUCUGAGUUGGGGCCCCAAAUAUGUGCUUAUCAAAGUGCUAAUUGAAUAUGCUGGUGUCAAAAGUUAGGAACCAAAUUAGAGACCACUGGAUGAGUCCUCAAGGUCCUUCCAGUUUAAAAGUGAAUAUGUGUCAUAGCAAUCUUUCCCAUAUGAAUGCCACUCAUGUAAAGUAGAUGACCUAUUUAGUUUCUGUAUGUAUACUCCCAUUGUCCUGAACUGGAAUAUUCAAUCUCUUGACAACUAAGAAUUUUCUUCUUGUAGAACCUGCUAUUAAUCUGUUAACUGGUAAACCAACCUAGAUAAUCAACAAGGCUAAAGUCUAGGGAGUCACUAUGACUAAGUGUGGGAGAACUCAAGGUCAAGGGCAGAGGAUAUCCUACAGCUUGGAUUUAAGCCCAAACAAUCUGACUCUGGUUUCCUGAACCCAGCCCAGCAAGGACACUGCCUCAUUGAAGUAACAGCUGAAAGUGGACUGAAUCCAAGGCCUCUGCACCAUCUUGAAUUCUUCCAUGAGAACUGUUCCUCACUGGUAGUUCCUGUUGCUUCUCACUGCCAUAGUCCUACCCGGAAGCCUCUGUUUCAUAGCACUUCCUGACCUCAGGCAAGAAUAAACGCAAUCACACAAUUUAUUACCA